rnacentral:rRNA from 1 species
GACGAACGCUGGCGGCGUGCUUAACACAUGCAAGUCGAACGGAAAGGCCCUGCUUUUGUGGGGUGCUCGAGUGGCGAACGGGUGAGUAACACGUGAGUAACCUGCCCUUGACUUUGGGAUAACUUCAGGAAACUGGGGCUAAUACCGGAUAGGAGCUCCUGCUGCAUGGUGGGGGUUGGAAAGUUUCGGCGGUUGGGGAUGGACUCGCGGCUUAUCAGCUUGUUGGUGGGGUAGUGGCUUACCAAGGCUUUGACGGGUAGCCGGCCUGAGAGGGUGACCGGCCACAUUGGGACGGAGAUACGGCCCAGACUCCCACGGGAGGCAGCAGUGGGGAAUAUUGCACAAUGGGCGGAAGCCUGAUGCAGCAACGCCGCGUGCGGGAUGACGGCCUUCGGGUUGUAAACCGCUUUCGCCUGUGACGAAGCGUGAGUGACGGUAAUGGGUAAAGAAGCACCGGCUAACUACGUG